rfam:Oryza rufipogon genomic scaffold, chr01
AGUUGAUGGGAUGAUAACCUUUCACAGAAACUGUAUGUGUUGACCCAAAAUUCAGACUACAAUUAUCUGAUCAACU